rnacentral:misc_RNA from 1 species
AAGUCGUAACAAGGUUUCUGUAGGUGAACCUGCAGAAGGAUCAUUAGUGAAGAUUCAAGGGGCCCAGCCAUACAGACGUACAAUAAGUGUGCUCUGCGUGGCGGCAUCCGCAUCCACUAUACCAUACCCAUAAACCGGUGUGCACUGUUCUAAGGGAGUAAGAAAAGAAGAAGGGGGGAGGGGGAGAGAGAGUGCAUGUGCUUUGCAUGAACUCUCUCUCACUCUCCACUCUCUUUCUCUCUCCGGUUAAUUUACAAACUCGUAUGGAUUUGUAUGAACGUGAGAUAUAUCGUUGGACCGUCACUGGCCAACAAAUAUACACAA